CAGUCGCCGCGGGAAUACGGAGGGUGCAAGCGUUAAUCGGAAUUACUGGGCGUAAAGCGCACGCAGGCGGUCUGACAAGUCAGAUGUGAAAUCCCCGGGCUUAACCUGGGAACUGCAUUUGAAACUGUCAGGCUGGAGUCUUAUAGAGGGGGGUAGAAUUCCAGGUGUAGCGGUGAAAUGCGUAGAGAUCUGGAGGAAUACCGGUGGCGAAGGCGGCCCCCUGGACAAAGACUGACGCUCAGGUGCGAAAGCGUGGGGAGCAAACAGGAUUAGAUACCCCUGUAGUCCCUGUCUCUUAUAC
rnacentral:rRNA from 1 species